rnacentral:rRNA from 1 species
AGGACGAACGCUGGCGGCGUGCCUAACACAUGCAAGUCGAGCGGGAUCCGAUACCAGUAGCAAUACUGGUGAAGAUCUAGCGGCGAACGGGUGAGUAACACGUGAGAAACCUGCCCCGAAGUCUGGGAUAACCCGAGGAAACUCGAGCUAAUACCGGAUGUCCUUCUCUGGUCGCAUGGCCUAGGAAGGAAAGAUUUAUCGCUUCGGGAGGGUCUCGCGGCCUAUCAGCUAGUUGGUGAGGUAACGGCUCACCAAGGCGUCGACGGGUA